GACGAACCGUGCAAACGUUGUUCGGAAUCACUGGGCAUAAAGGGUGCGUAGGCGGCGCGGUAAGUCGGGUGUGAAAUCUCGGGGCUUAACUCCGAAACUGCAUUCGAUACUGCCGUGCUUGAGGACUGGAGAGGAGACUGGAAUUUACGGUGUAGCGGUGAAAUGCGUAGAUAUCGUAAGGAAGACCAGUGGCGAAGGCGGGUCUCUGGACAGUUCCUGACGCUGAGGCACGAAGGCCAGGGGAGCAAACGGG
rnacentral:rRNA from 1 species